AGAGAGCGCGCGACGACACUACACUGAAUUGUGGGCGGGACCUUCCUAGGAGUGAGCGCGGGGCGCGCGCGACGACCGACCGGGCGAAUGAGCGUGCGUCGCGCCCUCCCAAAACAACAGCGCCACGCAGAGGCCGCAGGCACGACUUAUAGUGCAUUCUCUCCGGCGCCUCGAACAUCGCUGCCGCCGUGUAUCGUUUCACUAGAGACACAGACAGUAAGAGAGAUAGAAAUGAAAAGCGCGAGCGCCCCCAGGCGCCUUCAAGUACACAAACCACAUAGAGGCGA
ensembl:ncRNA F07A11.10 ncRNA